UACAGAGACCCCGAGCGUUAUCCGGUUUCAUUGGGCGUAAAGCGUUCCGAUCGGUUGUUUCGUAUGUCUAUAGUUAAAGACCGCAGCUUAACUGCGCGUUUGCUAUAGAAACUGCGUUACUAGAGUAGUGAAGAGGUAGCUGGAACUCUACAAGUAGGGGUGAAAUCCGUUGAUAUGUAGGGGAACAUCUAAAGCGAAGGCAGGCUACUAGGCACUCACUGACACUGCUAGGACGAAAGCGUGGGUAGCGAUACGG
rnacentral:rRNA from 1 species